GAAUGUGAAAGGCGCGCGCCCGCCGCCAUUUUCUCUCUUUCUUGGCAGGCGGCGGCAGCGGCCGGAGCGGCGCUGGGGUGGCCAUGGCGGACUAUUCCACCGUGCCCCCUCCUGCUGCGGGCGCGCCCGGGGGAGGCGGCGGCGGGGCUGGAGGAGUGAACGAUGCCUUUAAAGACGCGCUGCAGAGGGCUAGGCAGAUUGCAGCGAAAAUUGGAGGAGAUGCUGGCACGUCAAUGAAUUCAAACGACUACGGUUAUGGAGGGCAGAAAAGACCUCUUGAGGAUGGAGAUGGCUCUUGGACAAGUCCGAGCAGUACAACACACUGGGAGGGAAUGCCCUCUCCUUUUAAAGAUCAACCAGAUGCUAAGAAAGUUGCUCCCCAGAAUGACUCUUUUGGAAAUCAGCUACCACCGAUGCAUCAGCAGCAAAGGUCUGUGAUGACAGAGGAGUACAAAGUUCCAGAUGGGAUGGUUGGAUUCAUAAUUGGCAGAGGCGGAGAGCAGAUCUCACGCAUACAGCAGGAGUCUGGCUGUAAAAUACAGAUUGCACCUGAUAGUGGAGGCCUGCCUGAAAGAUCAUGUAUGCUAACUGGAACACCAGAGUCUGUUCAGUCAGCAAAAAGAUUACUUGACCAGAUAGUUGAAAAGGGAAGACCUGCACCUGGAUUUCAUCAUGGUGAUGGACCUGGAAAUGCAGUCCAAGAAAUUAUGAUUCCAGCAAGUAAAGCAGGAUUAGUUAUUGGGAAAGGUGGAGAGACAAUUAAACAAUUACAGGAGCGGGCAGGUGUCAAAAUGGUCAUGAUUCAAGAUGGUCCGCAGAACACUGGUGCAGACAAGCCCCUUAGGAUAACUGGAGACCCUUAUAAAGUUCAGCAAGCCAAGGAAAUGGUGCUGGAGUUAAUUCGUGAUCAAGGUGGCUUUAGAGAGGUGCGCAACGAAUAUGGGUCAAGAAUAGGAGGAAAUGAAGGGAUAGACGUUCCAAUACCACGAUUUGCUGUAGGUAUUGUAAUUGGAAGAAAUGGAGAGAUGAUAAAAAAGAUCCAGAAUGAUGCUGGUGUUAGGAUCCAGUUUAAGCCAGAUGAUGGAACAACUCCCGAUAGAAUAGCCCAGAUCACAGGGCCUCCAGACAGAUGUCAGCAUGCUGCAGAAAUUAUUACAGAUCUCCUUCGCAGUGUUCAGGCUGGUAACCCUGGUGGACCAGGACCUGGUGGUCGAGGAAGGGGUAGAGGCCAAGGCAACUGGAACAUGGGGCCUCCUGGUGGAUUACAGGAGUUCAAUUUUAUUGUCCCUACUGGCAAAACUGGAUUAAUCAUUGGAAAAGGUGGUGAAACUAUUAAAAGUAUAAGCCAACAGUCUGGUGCUAGAAUAGAACUUCAAAGAAAUCCUCCACCUAAUGCGGAUCCGAACAUGAAGAUGUUUACUAUCCGUGGAACACCCCAGCAAAUAGAUUAUGCACGACAACUAAUAGAAGAAAAGAUUGGAGGUCCGGUGAAUCCAUUGGGUCCACCUGUUCCCCAUGGUCCCCAUGGUGUUGUUCCUGGCCCGCAUGGACCUCCUGGGCCACCAGGUCCUGGUGCUCCCAUGGGACCAUAUAAUCCAGCUCCUUAUAAUCCAGGCCCUCCUGGUCCUGCGCCUCAUGGUCCUCCAGCUCCAUAUGCUCCACAGGGAUGGGGAAAUGCUUAUCCGCACUGGCAGCCACCUAACCCACCAGAUCCAGGUAAGCCAGGAACAGAUCCCAAUUCAGCAGCGUGGGCAGCUUAUUAUGCUCACUAUUAUCAACAGCAAGCACAGCCACCACCUGCAGCCCCUCCUGGUGGACCAGCUACAACACAAACUAAUGGACAAGGAGAUCAGCCAAAUCCAGCACCAGCAGGGCAGGUUGACUAUACCAAGGCCUGGGAGGAGUACUACAAAAAAAUGGGUCAAGCUGUUCCUGCCCCUGCUGGGGCUCCUCCGGGCGGUCAGCCAGAUUACAGCGCAGCGUGGGCUGAGUACUACAGGCAGCAGGCAGCAUACUACGCUCAGACAAGUCCACAGGGAAUGCCACAGCAUCCUCCAGCACCACAGUGCCUUCCCAGACCUUCCACCUUAGGUUCUGCUGCAAAAAAGCAACAGACAUUUAAUCAUCACUGAAGGAAAGGAAUUGAGAAACUCUGAUCUCUUCACUAUAGCUUCUGUCCAGUGAACACUCACCUGCUAAGAGAAGCCUGUGGUUUGCAAACUGCAAUCAAGAACCCCUUUCAGAGGACAUCCCAGAGUACUUUAUCUGUUAGUGGAGGAAGUAGACUGGGAACUGUCAGAGUACUGAUAAUCCAGAUCUCUAUACUGUGAGCAGCCCUGGGACUGAUCUCCUUUGAUUUCUUUCUUCCCUUGCUUUCUGCAUAGCUUCAAAUUUAUCCUUUACAUCACCCUUGUGAAGCUUGGGCACAUAGGACUUUUGGACGGGUUUAGAUGAAGAAAGCAGAAUCUUGGUGAAGAUAUAGAAGAAAUGAAGAUAAGAAAAAGAAAGUUGAAACAGAUGGAUAGAAAUAAUCUGAUAGUUGGAUUAGAAAGAAUGUAAGAACAUAAAACAGAAAUGCAAUUGAUAUUUUGAACUUUGUGCCACAAGCCAUCAUCAGUUAAGCAUCAUUGUAUUUGUUCAUAAACAGUCAUAAAUACUAAAAUAUCCAAAACAAUAUUCAGCAUUAUAUUAAACUAUUAAAUUAGAUACAGAUUUAUAUUGUUGCUUUCAAUCUUAAGCAAACACCAAAGAGAUUCUCUGCCCCUAACAUUUGAAAGAGAUAUAAAGACAUAGAUGUAUAAUACAAUAUGUAUGGGAGUUUUUCUGCAACACGUCACCAGCCGUCUGUAGUUUUUAAAUAAGCAGUAAUAUUUCUUAAGUUAAAACUUCCAAUACAUUAUAUGCUUACUUUUUUACUAUUUAGAGAAAACCAGAAGCCCAGUGAUUUUAUGUUACUAAGUGCAAAGAUCACUGGACUAUCAGGGCUCUGAUGCUGAUAUAACAAAUGGACACUGCUUUGCCAGUGAUUACUCUGUGGGUGUCCAAACACCAAAGGUUCCCGCUUUCAGAACUACUGUGAAGUUUUCUCUUUUUACAGUGAUGACAACGGGAAUGUUCUCAAUAAAGUAAUACUGAGAAAACUGGCUAAAAACGUUCCAUGUUUCAUAUUUUUCCACCUACACCAGAAGUUUUUGUUCCUGCUACUCAGUAAGUCUAUAUAGAAGAAGAAAGUAGCCUUGUAUAUUUACAUUUUAGAAUCAUGCAAAUGUUACCCAGAAUUUCGCCACCAACAUUUAAAGCUUCUUCAUAUUUCGUUGCCUUUAUUUUGCCCUCCUCCUUCAUGUUUUUCUAAUAAGAACAUAAUUCACAUAUUCCAUCAAUCUUACGCUACUUACAAGUCCCCUUUCAUUGUCUAAAAAUAGUGGCAAUACCAGCAGACUUCCAGAAUAAUUGUCUAUUACAAUUAUUUCUAAUUCUUAUUUUUGCAAGCAUCAGUUGUAAAUUAUUACAUUGCCUUGAUUACUUUAAAAUUGGUACAUACCUCAGUUUUCUGUGCAAUGUCAUUCAUGGUUACUGUAUUGUGCUCUGCACCUGGUGUGUUUAAGAUGGCUUUCAGUUUCUACCUGAAAGAAACAGUUGUCAUUAUAUUCCUUUCUUUUCCUUUUAAAUGAUGCUUUAACCAUCUUCCUGUAAAUAAGUUUGCAUAGGCUGAAAUUGAUGUAUCACAAUUUCACUUGGUCCUCUGAGGCUUUUGAAGACAUGAAUAGGUUCUAAGUAUGCCACAGUAAUUAAAAGAACAAGCUUAUGAUUCACUAUUCAUGCUCAUAACUCCUCUGUAUAGUCCUAGGUAUUGGGUUUUAAUUUCCAUUUAAAAAAACUAACAACUUGGAGCCAAACUCUGGCUGCCCUGGCUGGUUGUUGCAAAACUGCUGUUCCCGGUGCUCAGGGCAGCAGAAGGAAUGUCCCCGCAGCUCCGGGCCGAGCUGUGAGCCGGGGCUGCGACUGCAGGAGCUUUGCCAGAGCUCAGGCCAGGAGCCCCCGGCCUCCCCGCGCUGCUGCUUCGCCCUUGUGCGGCUGCAGGAGGAGAGAUGGGCCGGGGGAGCCACCUGCGUGUCACUGCCGCAGCCGCAUCUCCGGCCCGCGGCAAGGCUCUGCCCUUCACCCAACGCACGGCUACAAAGUAAUGCUUUCCCUUCCCCGAGGGCUGUUCUCCAGGGAAAAGUAGUGCUAAAAACUAUGAAAUGGGAUAGGUAAGCCACAUACAGAUAAAGUAUUUAUAUAAUUUGUGAUCUGGAAAUUGCAUAGCAUUUUUUAAAGGAAAAUUGUUAGAAAUUUUAAAGUACACUCUUUACUAGGAAACUAACAGAAAGGCACUUUUUCUUCUUUUUUCUUUUCUUUUAAACUUCAGAUCUAUCAGAGCUUGCGAGAGGAAGGAAAUCAUGACAUGACUCCAGUGCUACUGCUGUCCGUAUUGUAUCGAUCCUCUGAGUCCCAGGAAAGCCUAAAAACUCAGUGUGCCAAACAUGGUAAAAAUAAGGGCUCAAAGAUUCGAAGGAAAAAUGCUGCAAAAGUAGCUUACCACUGGAAGGGACUUCUCACUUGUCGUUUAGAGGAACUGAAGUCAGGGAUUUUCAUGAUAUGGAAAGCUAAACUCUUAUUCUUCAAAUUCUCUAAUUCUUAAUUGCAAACAGAUUAUGAACACAGAAACAUUUAUGUGGUUUUAAAAAUAAUUAAUAUUAAGAGUUGUUUUCAUGUAAACUCUUCAAAAAUACACCAACAUCACCAAUGGUCACCAGCACUGCUGUAGCUUCGCAGAUAGAAUGGGAUUCUAAGAUAUCUUGGGAUGUUUUUCCCAAUGAAAGCAGUCACAACAUAUGAAGCAAGAGCAUUUAGCUGCCAACGCUUGCCCUGAUUUACAAAUUCUAAACUCUUCAAAUUUGGCUUCAACAGGGAUGUUCUGGAGAGCACUUUGGUGUUCCCUUUCAACAAGUUAGUAUGGAAAGUCACACCACCCCCACCCCACUCCCUCAUUUGUAGACUGAUAGGAAUCCAAGGCAUCUCAGUUUCUCACUUGUGAACACAUGAACAUAUAAUCACUAAGUGGCAGUUCCUAUUGAGAUUGUUUCAGGUCAGCAAUAGCAUGUUAGAAUUGUGUGGAGUCUAGAAAGGCAAGUAAUUGCAUCAGCAUUCUGUAGCCUCAGGGUCCCUAUAGGCUUUACCAUACACUUGUACACUGUGCAGGAUUUGCACAUCUUUAUAAGCUUUAGCUGAUUUCUAUGCAUAUAAGUAAAAUCUCCACUGUGAUCAGUAUAACCUUAAAACUACUUAAAAUCUUUUGACUUCUGUAUUUUCAUAAGCAGGUCUUAGAGACAGUUCUCUGAUUUCUUCUUUUGCUACUCCGUUCUUUUAAUGGCUCCUUCCCUACUUGGGGCUGGCAACCUUUAGCCUUGUACUUUACAAACAGCAGCUGACUCAAAGGUUUACUGCAGGAACCCAUCAGAAAACAAAGGAUUGUCAUGAGCUGGUGCAAUCCUUGCUCUGAAGUAGCCUGGGACAUAGAGACCUUUUACCCUUGACAUGGGGCUGGAGCAGAGAAGGAAGACUCAAAGAUAAUCUGUCACAAGAAAUUCUGUUUCACCUCAACACCUCAAGGUAAGGUUACCACUAAUCUUGACCACAGCAGUGUACCCCAUAGACAGGGCUACAUCCUAAAGUCAUUUGAAAACUGACUAUUCCAAAGUCUGGUUUAUUACGUGCAAUUAAUUGUAAGAAGAUUAUAUUCAUGAGUCAAGACUUUGUCUUGAACCUUUCUGAUAGCUCCAAUUACCUGAACCUCUUAACAGUGGGAUAACAAAUCUCAAAUUUUCCCUAAAAGUGUGAAUGUUGGAAGAAAUUUUCUUUGCAAAUUCCUGCUGUCUGAACUUCCAAAAUAGUGCCAGUCCAACAGGUUGUGGGCCUUCAAGAUGGCAGAUAUAUUUCUGCCAUUUGGAAUAUUGCCCUAUCUGCUAUUACUUUAGGCUGCUUUCCAGUUCAUUGGCAUCACUAACUCUUAAUAUGUUUGAAGGUUAGCCAGCUGGCUCUAAGGCAUUUUGCCUCUACAGGUCAUCCUACCUCCACCUCUGAUGCUAAAAGAUAUUGAUACAAAGCACCAGCGCAUUGCUAAACAUGAUACCACCCAUGUUUCACUUUCAUCCCUCUCCAUGGCCACUAAACCUUGAGCAGGACCAGCAGCUGGACCCUGCCUCAGGCACCCCUCAGGGCAGAUGAGUCAUUUCCGAUAAAGACGAUACAAAAUCUUUAAGAAAAAAAGAAGCACUCCUUGAGUUUUGGGUUGGGUCUGUGAGGGAGUGGCCACAGCUUCGGGAAAAACCAUUGUGGACUGAAGCUCCUUUGUAUCUGCCUCACCAUCAGGAGAGGAGCACAGUCAAUGAAUUGGUGCUGAGAAAACCCAAGUGGCUACAUCAGAAGUCCUGAUACCUACAAAUCGUGGAAGAACAGUGCCUUCCUCAUCUGCCAAUAGCUUUGCAAAAGUAUGCAGUAAUAGAUUUUCCAACCCAAGAAACCUUGACCUACUAAUUCUCUUUUAGAUGAACUAGUUAUAUUUUUAAGUUGUGCAUUUAUAUACGUAUGUAUUCUUGUUUUGUAUUUUCCCAGAGUUCAACUAAUAAAAGCAAUUCUUAUUUUUUGAGACAA